UCAUUUGAUUACCAAUUAUUAUUCUUAUUAUUUUUGUUUUUAUAUGAGAGCUGAUGGCUUCAUAUGAUGGCUAGGACCCAAAUUGUUACAAAGGUAGGUAGAAAUGGAUAUGCACCGUAGAGUGUAGAAUGACAGGAGAAUGGAUGUGCAGGUGAGAAAGAGAAUGGAGGGAGAUAGAUGAUUUUUUUGUGUGUAGAAUGGCAAGAGAAUGGAUGUGUAGGUGAGAAAGAGAAUGGCGGGAGAUAGAUGAUUUUUUCGUAAGUGGUGGGUAAGGAGAGAAAGAGAAUGGGAGGAGAUAGAUGAUUUUUUUUUGGAAAGAGAUGAGCAUAGUUAGAUUACCCGUUAAGUGGAGUUAAGAGAAAAAGUAGAUGUACAUCGAUGUACAUAGGAGAGAGGGAGUAUUUUGGGGAAAUCUUAUAUAAUUUAAACAGUUAUAGGUGGAGUUAAGAGAGAAAGUAGAUGUACAUAAGAGAGCUUAUAGGUGGAGUUAAAGAAAGAAAGUAGAUGUACAUAGGAGAGAGGGAGCAUUUCGGGGAAAUUUUAUAUAAUUUAAGCACUUAUCGGUUAUAAGUGGAGUUGAGAGAGAAAGUAGAAAUGGAUAUGCUCAAGAGGGAAGGAAAAUGAGAGGAGAAUGGAUGUGCAUAGGAGAGUGAAUGGCAAGAGAUAGUGGAUUUGUUUUAGGCAAGUGACGUGCUUAGAUUACCCACACGUAAUGGAUUUCACAGCCAUUUUGCUCGUAAUAGAUUUCACAUAUUCUCUUAAAGAGUGUAAACUCUUUACACAGCUUUUUACAAUGGCGAACUCUCACACUCUGAUGCAUUUGGUGAAUUGAGUUCGCAGAAUUUGAUGAGCCAAAAGUAUUUCAGAAUUACAUGACCUGCUAGAACUACCACCCUCUUUGUUCCUCUUCAGAAUGCUUGCUGCUACUCUCAAGCUUCUCAACCAACCCUUCUUUCUCUUCAAACCCUAUAUAGAAAUGCGAGACUCAACAAGAUCUCGUCGCAUGAAAUGUUGCACAAAUAGAGAGCGCCCAAUGUCGCUCUAAAAUUCGUCGAUGGUGACCAAACGAUCAGAGCCUACUCUUCUCAGCCUGCUUAAAACUCGAUUGCCACUUGGGUUAUUGAUGACGAAUUCAGUGCCAUUAUCCAAGUUUCUUAUUCUGCAAACCAUAUUUUCUCUAUCAUCAUCAACUGAAUUUAUCUCUUCCAAACCCCUACUCAUGAGUGAAGAUCUACUCGACGAGAAAUUGAUUUCAAAAUUGGAGCUCAUUAGAUCUGCCCCACUGUUCUCUUUUAACCUUUCAACGCUUGGUAGUUUGACUACAGUAAUUAGAGAUAUUACGGUAAUAAACAUGUCAUAUAAAAUGCGUUAAACAUUACGGUAGUUAAAGUACUAUAUAAAAUGUAAACAUUACAGUACUUAAAGUACCGUAUAAAAUGCGCUAAACAUUACGGUACUUGAAGUACGGUAUAAAAUGGGCUAAACAUUACGGUACUUAAAAUACCGUAAUAUUUUUCACGGUAAUACGACUACCAUGAAGGUCAUUUUGAUAAUAAAAAAAAACCAAAAAAAAAGAAGAAAGAAGUGUAGACGAGAUUUACGAAAGUUGGGAGUUUUUUUCCAAUUAAACUAUAAUUAAAUUAUAUUUCUGAUAAUUUUCCAAAAAUAAAUUAC
rnacentral:lncRNA from 1 species